AACGCACAUUGCGCUCGCCAGUAUUCUGGCGAGCAUGCCUGUUCGAGCGUCAUUUCAACCAUCAAGCUCUGCUUGCGUUGGGGAUCCGCGGCUGCCCGCGGUCCCUCAAAAACAGUGGCGGGCUCGCUAGUCACACCGAGCGUAGUAACUCUACAUCGCUAUGGUCGUGCGGCGGGUUCUUGCCGUAAAACCCCCCAAUUUCUAAGGUUGACCUCGGAUCAGGUAGGAAUACCCGCUGAACUUAA
rnacentral:misc_RNA from 5 species